GCGGGUGUGGUGGAAUUGGUAGACGCGCCGGACUCAAAAUCCGGUUCCGCAAGGAGUGUCGGUUCGAGUCCGACCACCCGCACCA
rnacentral:tRNA from 1 species